UCGGACGUGGUGCAUGGUGCACGCCCGCACGCAAUAUAUGAUUGGGUUGAGUGAAUAAAGCGGAAGAGCUGGGUUCGACUCCCGGCGUCCGAA